rnacentral:tRNA from 1 species
GCGCUCGUAGCUCAAUGGAUAGAGUAACUGGCUUCGAACCAGUAGGUUGGAGGUUCGAGUCCUCCCGGGCGCA